rnacentral:rRNA from 1 species
AGUGAACGCUGGCGGCAGGCCUAACACAUGCAAGUCGAGCGGCAGCGCGGGGGCAACCCUGGCGGCGAGCGGCGGACGGGUGAGGAAUUCGUCGGAAUCUGCCUUUUUGUGGGGGAUAACGUAGGGUAACUUACGCUAAUCCCGCAUACGUCCUACGGGAGAAAGUGGGGGACCGCAAGGCCUCACGCAGAAAGAUGAGCCGACGACAGAUUAGCUAGUUGGUGGGGUAACGGCCCACCAAGGCGACGAUCGGUAGCUGGUCUGAGAGGAUGAUCAGCCACACUGGAACUGAGACACGGCCCAGACUCCUACGGGAGGCAGCAGUGGGGAAUAUUGGACAAUGGGCGCAAGCCUGACCCAGCCAUGCCGCGUGUGUGAAGAAGGCCUUCGGGUUGUAAAGCACUUUUGUCCGGAAAGAAAUCCCUGGAGCUAAUACCUGCGGGGGAUGACGGUACCUGAAGAAUAAGCACCGGCUAACUUCGUG